GGCCUGGUAGCGUAAUGGUAACGCGUUGUCUUCCGGUGGCAAAGAUUGCGGGUUCGAGGUAAGCUCGUACUAUGACUGCCCUAGUCA